rnacentral:lncRNA from 1 species
CAAUAGACCCAACAAAAUAACAAAUUAAGAAAAAUAUUUUUCUAAACUUUGGCAAGCUACGGCUCAUGUUCCCAUGGACUCCAUAACCCACGUCCAUAGGUCACCGCGUAUGUAUAUUUUCCAACAAUAGACUCAACAAAAUAACAAAUUAAGAUUUCUAAACUUUGGCAAGCUACAAUACAUAUUCCCAUGGGCUCCAUAACCCACGUCCAUAGGUCACCGCCCAUGUCACCACCAUCUUCUGCUAACAACCCAUUUCCCACAUUGCAUGUCUCAGUCACAUGCUUUCUAUCUUCUAGCUUCAGUCUAUGUAUA